rnacentral:rRNA from 1 species
CGAGCGGUAAGGCCCUUCGGGGUACACGAGCGGCGAACGGGUGAGUAACACGUGGGUGAUCUGCCUUGCACUCUGGGAUAAGCCUGGGAAACUGGGUCUAAUACCGGAUAUGACCUUCCAGUGCAUGCUGGUUGGUGGAAAGAUUUAUCGGUGCGAGAUGGGCCCGCGGCCUAUCAGCUUGUUGGUGAGGUAACGGCUCACCAAGGCGACGACGGGUAGCCGACCUGAGAGGGUGACCGGCCACACUGGGACUGAGACACGGCCCAGACUCCUACGGGAGGCAGCAGUGGGGAAUAUUGCACAAUGGGCGAAAGCCUGAUGCAGCGACGCCGCGUGCGGGAUGACGGCCUUCGGGUUGUAAACCGCUUUUGACAGGGACGAAGCGUGAGUGACUGUACCUGUAGAAUAAGGACCGGCCAACUACGU